rnacentral:rRNA from 1 species
GACGAACGCUGGCGGCGUGCUUAACACAUGCAAGUCGUACGGUAAGGCCCUUUCGGGGGUACACGAGUGGCGAACGGGUGAGUAACACGUGAGUAACCUGCCCACAACUUUGGGAUAACGCUAGGAAACUGGUGCUAAUACUGGAUAUGUGCUCCUGCUGCAUGGUGGGGGUUGGAAAGCUCCGGCGGUUGUGGAUGGACUCGCGGCCUAUCAGCUUGUUGGUGGGGUAGUGGCCUACCAAGGCGGCGACGGGUAGCCGGCCUGAGAGGGUGACCGGCCACAUUGGGACUGAGAUACGGCCCAGACUCCUACGGGAGGCAGCAGUGGGGAAUAUUGCACAAUGGGCGCAAGCCUGAUGCAGCAACGCCGCGUGCGGGAUGACGGCCUUCGGGUUGUAAACCGCUUUCAGCAGGGACGAAGCUUUUUGUGACGGUACCUGCAGAAGAAGCACCGGCUAACUACGCG